rnacentral:tRNA from 1 species
GAGGCUUUAGCUUAAUUAAAUCGUCUGCUUUGCAUGCAGGAGAUAUGGGAUAGUAUCCCGUAAGUCUUA